GAUGAACGCUGGCGGCGUGCCUAAUACAUGCAAGUCGAACGAAACUUCUUUAUCACCGAGUGCUUGCACUCACCGAUACAGAGUUGAGUGGCGAACGGGUGAGUAACACGUGGGCAACCUGCCCAAAAGAGGGGGAUAACACUUGGAAACAGGUGCUAAUACCGCAUAACCAUAGUUACCGCAUGGUAACUAUGUAAAAGGUGGCUAUACUACCGCUUUUGGAUGGGCCCGCGGCGCAUUAGCUAGUUGGUAGGGUAAAGGCUUACCAAGGCAAUGAUGCGUAGCCGAAUUGAGAGGUUGAUCGGCCACAUUGGGACUGAGACACGGCCCAAACUCCUACGGGAGGCAGCAGUAGGGAAUCUUCCACAAUGGGCGAAAGCCUGAUGGAGCAACGCCGCGUGGGUGAAGAAGGUCUUCGGAUCGUAAAACCCUGUUGUUAGAGAAGAAAGUGCGUGAGAGUAACUGUUCACGUUUCGACGGUAUCUAAACAGAAAGCCACGGCUAACUACGUG
rnacentral:rRNA from 1 species